UACGUAGGGACCAAGCGUUGUUCGGAUUUACUGGGCGUAAAGGGCGCGUAGGCGGCGUGUUAAGUCAGCUGUGAAAUCUCCAAGCUUAACUUGGAACGGUCAGCUGAUACUGAUGUGCUAGAGUGCAGAAGGGGCAAUCGGAAUUCUUGGUGUAGCGGUGAAAUGCGUAGAUAUCAAGAGGAACACCUGAGGUGAAGACGGGUUGCUGGGCUGACACUGACGCUGAGGCGCGAAAGCCAGGGGAGCGAACGGG
rnacentral:rRNA from 1 species